UCUGGGUUCAGCCCCAUGCAGCAGUCCUGCCGGACGCCGUCUCCCGCCCGCCCGCGCGCGAGACGACGCGGAACGGAGCAUUGCCCGCAGCCCCUUCCGCUAGGCCAGGCCAGAGCCCAGUUCGGGCCUGGGUCUCUGCUGGGUGGGGGAAGACGAGGCUGCCUCCUAAACAGAGUGGGAAACGGAAACCUGGAGGACACUUUGCCUGCCCCUGGGGCUGAGUGUUCCAAGAACUGACAGCGAGAUUCUCGUGUGUGUGCACCGCUCUGUAAAAAAAUCAAUAUUUCAGUAGCUCCAGCACAGCGCAGGGCAGUGUAAUGGAGCCAGCCUGCCGGUGUAACGUGCGGGGUCCACGCUCGGCUAUUGAGGCUGGCCAAAAUGCGCAGAUCUGGCGACAAAACCAGACAUGGCUGAUGCGCAGCAAUGACAGCUGACAUUUCUUCACAUAGCAGGCCAUUGAGUAACAGUAAACAUGAAUGACAGCUCCUCACAGCGUCAUGACUGGAGCCUCAAAACGUGAUGGGGGAAAGCAGGAGGCAAGUCCCGGAGACCACAGACACUUUGCCAUCUGUAUAAAGGUCAACCAUGAGCAAACCUAAAUAUGUAUUGGAGGCAUUCGUGAAGUGAAAGCAAAGUGGGAAAAGGGUCAUGAUAGCAUCUAGGAAAGUGGUUAGUGGUAGGAUGUGGAGAGAAGAGGAGGGGCAGCCCAAAGGCAGCCGCAGCCGCUUAGACUCUAAAUCUCAAGCUGGAUGGAACACUCGUGCGCCCAGUUGUCCACUGCAUUAUGCUUCACAAGUGCAUUUGUGGGAGGAAGUGGGAGGCGGGAGGAAGGCGGUCUUAGCAGUGUCAGUGGUACCCAGCCUCUAGCUAUCAACAUUUAUCUCUGGAGAUCGAAUGCGACAGAUGCUCCCACGGACUGGGUGACGUGCUAGGCUUUGAACACUCACUAGUAAAGGUGGAAUGGCCCCUAAUCUUUAACGAGCCACUUCGCAAGAGAUCUUCAGUCUUAAAGACAAAGCUGUUGUUUUUUAAAACUUUUUGACGAAGCUGGAGAAAUGGCUCAGCAGUUAGAAGUAUAUACUGCUUCUGCAGAAGACUGGAGUGACAUUCAGGGGUUCACAACCACCCCUAACUCUAGCUUGGGGUUUGUUCUAACCUUUGGGGUCAUUUGUAUUUACAGGUAUAUAUCUAUACACAGAUAUGU